CUAUCUGUGUGUUUUUGAGUUAACACUGGGUGAAAAGGCUCUGAAUCAGGGAAUAUUCAUAGUGAUAUAUUUCCUGAUAUGUGUAAUAUCAGGAAAUAUAUUGGUUGAUAUGCUCCUGAUAUUUUAGUGCCAAUUGCCAUAUCAGGAGCAUAUCAAAAGUCCUGAAUGGGACUGCGACGACAUGCAAGAUAUCCAGACUUCAUAUUCUCACCUGAUAUGAUCCAUGUUUCAAGUAUUAGCU